rnacentral:rRNA from 1 species
GACGAACGCUGGCGGCGUGCCUAAUACAUGCAAGUCGAGCGAGCGGAACUAACAGAUUUACUUCGGUAAUGACGUUAGGAAAGCGAGCGGCGGAUGGGUGAGUAACACGUGGGGAACCUGCCCCAUAGUCUGGGAUACCACUUGGAAACAGGUGCUAAUACCGGAUAAGAAAGCAGAUCGCAUGAUCAGCUUUUAAAAGGCGGCGUAAGCUGUCGCUAUGGGAUGGCCCCGCGGUGCAUUAGCUAGUUGGUAAGGUAAAGGCUUACCAAGGCGAUGAUGCAUAGCCGAGUUGAGAGACUGAUCGGCCACAUUGGGACUGAGACACGGCCCAAACUCCUACGGGAGGCAGCAGUAGGGAAUCUUCCACAAUGGACGCAAGUCUGAUGGAGCAACGCCGCGUGAGUGAAGAAGGUUUUCGGAUCGUAAGGCUCUGUUGUUGGUGAAGAAGGAUAGAGGUAGUAACUGGCCUUUAUUUGACGGUAAUCAACCAGAAAGUCACGGCUAACUACGUGCCAGCAGCCGCGGUAAUACGUAGGUGGCAAGCGUUGUCCGGAUUUAUUGGGCGUAAAGCGAGCGCAGGCGGAAGAAUAAGUCUGAUGUGAAAGCCCUCGGCUUAACCGAGGAACUGCAUCGGAAACUGUUUUUCUUGAGUGCAGAAGAGGAGAGUGGAACUCCAUGUGUAGCGGUGGAAUGCGUAGAUAUAUGGAAGAACACCAGUGGCGAAGGCGGCUCUCUGGUCUGCAACUGACGCUGAGGCUCGAAAGCAUGGGUAGCGAACAGG